rnacentral:rRNA from 1 species
AAUAUUGGACAAUGGGGGCAACCCUGAUCCAGCCAUGCCGCGUGUGUGAAGAAGGUCNNNUGAUUNUCAAGCACUUUAAGUCGNGAGNAAGGGCUUUAGGCUAAUACCCUGGAGUUUUGACGUUACCAACAGACUAAGCACCGGCUAACUCUGUGCCAGCAGCCGCGGUAAUACAGAGGGUGCAAGCGUUAAUCGGAAUGACUGGGCGUAAAGCGCGCGUAGGUGGUUCAGUAAGAUGGGUGUGAAAGCCCCGGGCUUAACCUGGGAACUGCUUUCAUAACUGCUGCGCUAGAGUACGGGAGAGGGUAGUGGAAUUUCCUGUGUAGCGGUGAAAUGCGUAGAUAUAGGAAGGAACACCAGUGGCGAAGGCGACUACCUGGACGGAUACUGACACUGAGGUGCGAAAGCGUGGGGAGCAAAC